rnacentral:rRNA from 1 species
GUAGGUGGGUUUGUAAGUCAGAUGUGAAAGCCUUCUGUUCAAAGGAAGAACGGCAUCUGAAACUGCAGAUCUUGAGUGUAGGAGGGGAGAGUGGAACUUCUGGUGGAGCGGUGAAAUGCGUAGAUAUCAGAAGGAACGUCGGCGGCGAAAGCGACUCUCUGGCCUAUUACUGACACUGAGUGUGCGAAAGUUAGGGGGGCAAACGGGAUUAGAUACCCCGGUAGUCCUAACUGUAAACGAU